rnacentral:rRNA from 1 species
GACGAGUUGUAGCUGGCCUUCCGAGGCAUGUGCACGCUCUGCUCAUCCACUCUACCCCUGUGCACUUACUGUAGGUUGGCGUGGGCUCCUUAACGGGAGCAUUCUGCCGGCCUAUGUAUACUACAAACACUUUAAAGUAUCAGAAUGUAAACGCGUCUAACGCAUCUAUAAUACAACUUUUAGCAACGGAUCUCUUGGCUCUCGCAUCGAUGAAGAACGCAGCGAAAUGCGAUAAGUAAUGUGAAUUGCAGAAUUCAGUGAAUCAUCGAAUCUUUGAACGCACCUUGCGCUCCUUGGUAUUCCGAGGAGCAUGCCUGUUUGAGUGUCAUGGAAUUCUCAACUUAUAAAUCCUUGUGAUCUAUAAGCUUGGACUUGGAGGCUUGCUGGCCCUUGCGGUCGGCUCCUCUUGAAUGCAUUAGCUCGAUUCCGUACGGAUCGGCUCUCAGUGUGAUAAUUGUCUACGCUGUGACCGUGAAGUGUUUUGGCGAGCUUCUAAUCGUCCAUUAGGACAACUUUUUAACAUCUGACCUCAAAUCAGGUAGGACUACCCGCUGAACUUAAGCAUAUCAAUAAGCGAGGGAAAAAA